UUUAUGGAGAGUUUGAUCCUGGCUCAGGAUGAACGCUGGCGGCGUGCCUAAUACAUGCAAGUCGAGCGAACGGACGAGAAGCUUGCUUCUCUGAUGUUAGCGGCGGACGGGUGAGUAACACGUGGAUAACCUACCUAUAAGACUGGGAUAACUUCGGGAAACCGGAGCUAAUACCGGAUAAUAUUUUGAACCGCAUGGUUCAAAAGUGAAAGACGGUCUUGCUGUCACUUAUAGAUGGAUCCGCGCUGCAUUAGCUAGUUGGUAAGGUAACGGCUUACCAAGGCAACGAUGCAUAGCCGACCUGAGAGGGUGAUCGGCCACACUGGAACUGAGACACGGUCCAGACUCCUACGGGAGGCAGCAGUAGGGAAUCUUCCGCAAUGGGCGAAAGCCUGACGGAGCAACGCCGCGUGAGUGAUGAAGGUCUUCGGAUCGUAAAACUCUGUUAUUAGGGAAGAACAUAUGUGUAAGUAACUGUGCACAUCUUGACGGUACCUAAUCAGAAAGCCACGGCUAACUACGUGCCAGCAGCCGCGGUAAUACGUAGGUGGCAAGCGUUAUCCGGAAUUAUUGGGCGUAAAGCGCGCGUAGGCGGUUUUUUAAGUCUGAUGUGAAAGCCCACGGCUCAACCGUGGAGGGUCAUUGGAAACUGGAAAACUUGAGUGCAGAAGAGGAAAGUGGAAUUCCAUGUGUAGCGGUGAAAUGCGCAGAGAUAUGGAGGAACACCAGUGGCGAAGGCGACUUUCUGGUCUGUAACUGACGCUGAUGUGCGAAAGCGUGGGGAUCAAACAGGAUUAGAUACCCUGGUAGUCCACGCCGUAAACGAUGAGUGCUAAGUGUUAGGGGGUUUCCGCCCCUUAGUGCUGCAGCUAACGCAUUAAGCACUCCGCCUGGGGAGUACGACCGCAAGGUUGAAACUCAAAGGAAUUGACGGGGACCCGCACAAGCGGUGGAGCAUGUGGUUUAAUUCGAAGCAACGCGAAGAACCUUACCAAAUCUUGACAUCCUUUGACAACUCUAGAGAUAGAGCCUUCCCCUUCGGGGGACAAAGUGACAGGUGGUGCAUGGUUGUCGUCAGCUCGUGUCGUGAGAUGUUGGGUUAAGUCCCGCAACGAGCGCAACCCUUAAGCUUAGUUGCCAUCAUUAAGUUGGGCACUCUAAGUUGACUGCCGGUGACAAACCGGAGGAAGGUGGGGAUGACGUCAAAUCAUCAUGCCCCUUAUGAUUUGGGCUACACACGUGCUACAAUGGACAAUACAAAGGGCAGCGAAACCGCGAGG
rnacentral:rRNA from 1 species